rnacentral:sRNA from 1 species
CAUGCCCCUUAUACGCUGGGCUACACACGUGCUACAAUGGGUAGUACAGAGAGUCGCAAAGCCGCGAGGUGGAGCUAAUCUCAGAAAACUAUUCUUAGUUCGGAUUGUACUCUGCAACUCGAGUACAUGAAGUUGGAAUCGCUAGUAAUCGCGAAUCAGCAAUGUCGCGGUGAAUACGUUCUCGGGUCUUGUACACACCGCCCGUCACACCACGAGAGUUGGUUGCACCUGAAGUAGCAGGCCUAACCGUAAGGAGGGAUGCUCCGAGGGUGUGAUUAGCGAUUGGGGUGAAGUCGUAACAAGGUAUCCGUACGGGAACGUGCGGAUGGAUCACCUCCUUUCUAAGGAGAAGAAGUCUUUCUCUAUUCUAUUGGUAAUGUUCUUUACAUUACUUCUGAACAUUGGAAACUAUAUAGUAGAACAAACAAGAAAAAGAUUAACUCUAACAAUUUCUUAGAGUUAGCUGUCAAAAAAUAGAUUAAAAUAAUUAAGGGCACACAAAGGAUGCCUAGGUAGUAAGAGCCGAUGAAGGACGUGGUAAGCUGCGAUAAGCCUAG